CUCUGACCCCUAGCCGCCACUCCUCUUGUUUCCGAGAUUUUUGACAUUAUAAAACACGGCAUGGUGGGCUUCAAUGAAAUGGAGGUGCUGAGAAGGGAUUCGACGAUUUGGAAACCCACACAACACACAGUCGCUGAUAUGGACAGGGAUUCUCUCUUAUGUGCGACAGAUAGAGAUUUAGCUGCUAGAGAUCUUGGUGCACAUUUUCCGGUCGGCUCCAGCUGCACUGCAGGGAAUGGGGAAUGGGGAGAAUAGGUCACAACAGCUAGUACUCCCAGCCGAUCUCCACCCAGCCAGCACUGCAAUGUGGAUGGCACCUAGCAUCUAUUGGAGAGAAUGGGAAGGAAGAAGAGAGAAGGAGAGCUGAUCUCUAGGAGGAACUCAUGGGCGACGGCGCCGGGAGCAGCGACGGCGUUGAGGACGGCAGCCAUGCCCACGCAGACUAAUCCUCACAACGGAGAAUUAAGCAGUGUCCAGCGCGCCUAAGAGAGAAUCCAUGUCUAUACCAGCGUCUGCACGUUGUGUGGGUUUUUAAAUCAUCGAAUCCCUUCUCAGCGCCUCCGUUUCGUCGAAGCUGGGUGUGUCGUGUUUUAUAAUGGCAAAAAUCUCCUUGUUUCCUAGCCGCUAGGCUGUUCCUCCUCAUGCCACUUCUCGCUCUUUGGCUUAGGCGCAGGAGCAGAGGCCUCCCAUGGCGCCACCCUCUCCCCCUGCAGCUUUCCCUCCCUCUCGGCCGCGCCCUCUGUCCUAGCUCCCUGCUAGCCACCAUCUCCAAGUCGGCCAUGGGCCUUCCCCCAUGCCCUCUUCUGCUCCAAGGCAUAGGAGCCUAAGGUCCUCCAUCAGCCGAACUUGCUCCUUCUGUCAUGGCCUCGCGCUCGACGGUGGCGACUCGUCUUCCCAAGCGCUUAGUGCUCCACCUCGCCGGGCCACCGGCCAACCUCGCCGGCCGAGCCCCUCCCCAGCGCCCAGCCUCCCCCAGCUGGGUGUCCCUCAAGCACAGGGAGCUUUAGCUCGUUCUCCUUCGCGUCCCCCUUGUUCCUCAUCUAUGCAGGUCUCCCGCCCUUCUCUGGUCUUGCCAUGGUGGGAGCCGCAGCCCCAAGUUUGUGACCUUGCCUCGGCUCCACUGUGCGUCGCCGCUCCCCCUGUGCACUCGCUUAGCCCCGCUUUGCACACUCGCCGCUGCUCCUCCAUGAGCGUUGCUUGCUCGACAAAAUGCACAACACACCACACGUCGUCGGUACCUUGCAGCAGCAAGGAACCCCUGCAUCGUGCCGCUACACCCGCGCCGUCGAUGCUUGCUAGGCGCUCGACCAAAUGCCUAAGCCAGCCUCACCCCUGCAGCAGCAACACCGUGCGUCCUGCUGCUAUAAUGCCUUGUACUCGCUAUCCCGCAACUCACGGUCAUCGCAGCGUGUUGUCUUGGUUUGGGUAGCGAGCGUCGUCUACGGUGUCAUGCUAUCCUUGUUUUCGUGGUCGCCGUCCCUCUCACAGUGCUUGCCUCUGCAGUGUGUCCGAACUCCUCCCCGUGUGAGCACCACCGGACAUGGCUGGCUUCUAGUCGUUGUCGUGACCGACGCAACUCCUCCACAGAGCACCCCCUUCACACACGUCACGUCCUACUUAUCAGCCUUGCGUCGUCGAUCCCUCGCCAUUCCACACUUCAACUCAUGCACUUGUCCCCGAGUGCAUUGUUACCCCAUGCAUCAUGGACGCGACGUCAUCGUCAUGUCUCCUUGCAAGCUUAUGGCUUUGCCAAAACUUGCAGGUGUGCAAAAUGGAUGAUCUCGUGGAAGAAGUAAAUUAAAAGGGUGAGAUAUUUCUUUAUGUUUUCUUACUAUUGUUAGUUGCCAUUUUCAUAUGCGUGAAGUGGAUUGGCGAAAUUUCUCUUAUGGACGCAAGUAGUGUAAACACGUAGGUGAAUCAGAGGAAAGGGCGAGUCAUGUCGUUUGAUGUGAUGAAUGGGAUUAGAAACAUUCGUUUA